GACAGAGGUGCCGAGCGUUAGGCGGAAUCACUGGGCUUAAAGCGUGUGUAGGCGGAUCGUUAAGUACCUUGUGAAAUCCCACGGCUCAACCGUGGAACUGCUGGGUAUACUGGCGAUCUUGAGCCACCUAGGGGGGAGCGGAACAAGCGGUGGAGCGGUGAAAUGCGUAGAUAUCGCUUGGAACGCCAAUGGUGAAAACAGCUCGCUGGGGGUGUGCUGACGCUGAGACACGAAAGCCAGGGGAGCGAACGGG
rnacentral:rRNA from 1 species